rnacentral:rRNA from 1 species
CCUACGGGGAGCAGCAGUGAGGAAUAUUGGUCAAUGGGCGCGAGCCUGAACCAGCCAAGUCGCGUGAGGGAUGAAGGUUCUAUGGAUCGUAAACCUCUUUUAUCAGGGAAUAAAGUGUGGGACGUGUCCUAUUUUGUAUGUACCUUAUGAAUAAGGAUCGGCUAACUCCGUGCCAGCAGCCGCGGUAAUACGGAGGAUCCGAGCGUUAUCCGGAUUUAUUGGGUUUAAAGGGUGCGUAGGCGGCCUUUUAAGUCAGCGGUGAAAGCCGGUGGCUCAACCAUAGAAUUGCCGUUGAAACUGGGGGGCUUGAGUAUGUGUGAGGCAGGCGGAAUGCGUGGUGUAGCGGUGAAAUGCUUAGAUAUCACGCAGAACCCCGAUUGCGAAGGCAGCCUGCAAAGCCAUGACUGACGCUGAUGCACGAAAGCGUGGGGAUCAAACAGGAUUAGAUACCCGAGUAGUC